rnacentral:rRNA from 1 species
GAUGAACGCUGGCGGCGUGCCUAAUACAUGCAAGUCGAACGCUUCACUUCGGUGAAGAGUGGCGAACGGGUGAGUAAUACAUAAGUAACCUGGCAUCUACAGGGGGAUAACUGAUGGAAACGUCAGCUAAGACCGCAUAGGUGUAGAGAUCGCAUGAACUCUAUAUGAAAAGUGCUACGGGACUGGUAGAUGAUGGACUUAUGGCGCAUUAGCUGGUUGGUAGGGUAACGGCCUACCAAGGCGACGAUGCGUAGCCGACCUGAGAGGGUGACCGGCCACACUGGGACUGAGACACGGCCCAGACUCCUACGGGAGGCAGCAGUAGGGAAUUUUCGGCAAUGGGGGAAACCCUGACCGAGCAACGCCGCGUGAAGGAAGAAGUAAUUCGUUAUGUAAACUUCUGUCAUAGAGGAAGAACGGUGGAUAUAGGGAAUGAUAUCCAAGUGACGGUACUCUAUAAGAAAGCCACGGCUAACUACGUGCCAGCAGCCGCGGUAAUACGUAGGUGGCGAGCGUUAUCCGGAAUUAUUGGGCGUAAAGAGGGAGCAGGCGGCACUAAGGGUCUGUGGUGAAAGAUCGAAGCUUAACUUCGGUAAGCCAUGGAAACCGUAGAGCUAGAGUGUGUGAGAGGAUCGUGGAAUUCCAUGUGUAGCGGUGAAAUGCGUAGAUAUAUGGAGGAACACCAGUGGCGAAGGCGACGAUCUGGCGCAUAACUGACGCUCAGUCCCGAAAGCGUGGGGAGCAAAUAGGAUUAGAUACCCUAGUAGUCCACGCCGUAAA